rnacentral:rRNA from 1 species
UACGUAGGGGGCAAGCGUUGUCCGGAUUUAUUGGGUUUAAAGGGUGCGUAGGCGGUCCUACAAGUCAGUGCUGAAAUAUCCCGGCUUAACCGGGAGGGUGGCAUUGAUACUGCAGGACUUGAGUAAAGUUGAGGUAGGCGGAAUUGACGGUGUAGCGGUGAAAUGCUUAGAUAUCGUCAAGAACACCGAUAGUGAAGACAGCUUACUAAACUUUAACUGACGCUGAGGCACGAAAGUGUGGGGAUCAAACAGG